GUACCAUACCGCUCGGUGGAAACGCGCCAUAACGUGGGAACAGUUGCUCUUUGUGGGCUGAAUCACAAUUAACAAUGUUUGAGCUUGACGACCUGCAUAUUGAGCUCAUGUAUGUUGUCUUUAAAGGUGUGUUGUGUAAAAUAUAUAAACCUCAUGUUCCACGCUGAACAGCUUGCUUAGAGAUCUUGGAUAAAACCCAAUAAAGUGGAUUUUUAGUAUUUAAACGUUUACAAUCUUUUUUUAAUUAACUUUGGCUUUAUUUCUAAUUUAAAGGACGAAUGUUGAUUUGGUUGUAAAUAUAUUCCAUGAACAGAUUACCGACAGCAGAUAUCAAUUAAUGCCUGUUUCCUUAUAGAGAUAAAAUGACAUUCUGAUAAACACCAAAAAAAGCUCAAAUCAACUUUAACUUUACCUCCGACACGAAGCCUGCGAGCGUCAUGCCGUCCAACAUCUUCAUCAGGAAGUCGUCCUCCAUCAGCGACCUCUGACCCAUGAAGGCCGCCUGCGGGAACACACAACAUACUAAGCUGAUGGCGACCUCUCUCGUCAGAGCACACAGGUGAUUGGCUGGAGGGGAUAUUCACAUGCAGAAUUUUUUUAUUACAGACAUUAUGGAAGCGGAUCACCGGUUCUGGGUGAAUGCGGAUGAUGUGUAAACACCAGCGGUAGUCCUGGAAGAGCCGAGUGAGCAGCCACAGGAAGCCCUGGAUCUCCAUGUUCUGGAACACACAGUCAGGUUGUGCUUCGGCUCGUCCCCCCAUGUGGCCCCGAGUGGCAGCUCCGCUUCAUCCGGGAGACGUCGCCCCUGCGCUCACACAUCUGUAGCUGUCUGCGCCCGGGGUCUUUGUGCGAGUCUCAGCCGCUGAUCGGGCUGUAUAAUGUGACCGAUGUCCUCUGGGCAAUCUGCCGUUGGGACAAGGACGUGCCCGGGGUGAUCCAGAGGCGGACUGGCGCCCGACUAACGGAGAGGACACCGUGACCUCUGAGGUUGUCUGGGUGCCAAACCGGCCUGUCAAUUAUGCGUCCGGACACACGACCUUCGCCGCUGGAACCAGCCUUUCCGCCGCCGCCCCAAAAUGCACCAGCAUCAAAGCCUUAUCCGUCACCAGAUGGAUGCUGAGUCUGAGCUACGUGAAACACAGGGAUAAGAUCUGCAGAUAUGAAAGCAGCCUAAUGGCAGACUGGAGAAUUGAGUAUGAAGCGGUGGCAUAAGCGGGCAUACAUUAUCCUUUAGAUACCCUCAGUACUCACACAGCAGAAAAUAAUGUACUGCAUUAUAUAAGACUUAAAUGUAUCUCACAAGACGAGCAUUUUGUUUCCCCCCAGUGUGAAUAAUGACCUGCACUUUAGGUCUCACAACAUCAGAGAGGAAUAACUAUUUAUCUAUCAUUUACGGGUAUGAAGAGAAACCGUAAUCACAUGUGUGUCUGCUUCCUGCAGGCGAGGGGGGCAGGCUGGGUGAGGGUCCCGGAGGGGAUAGGGUAACAGGUGGGCCGAAUGCCAUUCACAAGGGUCAGACCGCACAAUGCCAGCUUCUCCCUUUGAUGCUGAUACCAUCUUCUGUGUGUCUGCUCGGCCCGGGUCCCUAUUUCACCGCUCAGCGACUCUACAUCCACUUGCCUCCGAUUGUGUCGGCGGAACAGCCCCCGGAUCCAAUAACGCAGUCCCGCUGUAAGGAAAUUACCCGUUUUAAUAAUGGCCGUCAACACAUGCCCUGUGGAUAGAAUAUGAAAUAUAUAUAUAUAAUAUUCAGAAUCCAAGUGUGUUUGUGUAGGUGAGCAGCAUCAAAUCCCAUCAGUGAGUUUUAUCAGAGCCUUUAAAAUGUACUUAAUUAACAUUUUUCUAUUGUGAGAGGGCUUUUCGUUUUGUAUUGCCCACGUAAACUAAACUCUUUUGGAGUAGAUCAGAGAAUAUUGACAUUUUAUUCUGGUCAAUUUAAAGGCACUUUAACACAAAAUAUCUCUAGAUCACCUUAAAAUGAAACAAGGGGGAUAUUCAGAGCAUUAAUAUAGCAGCAAACCACUAUUUUCUAUGUAAACGUAUAGUAGAGUAACAUUUAAUGUCACUUGUAACAUCACUGUUAGCAACUGGUGAGAGCCAUAGAGCGGCAAACCCAACGCUCCCAAUCUCAUAAAUAGCACCUUUAACACGGAGUACGUCCUCAUAAGAGCCACACGACUCCACACACGUCCCCCAUGAGUACGCUAAGCCGGCACCACCAGUAAUGUGUUUGUAUGCAGAACAAAUAGGAUUUAAUCCCCGAAGCUGUUAGACUUGUGAGCAUCCACAGUACAUGAAGGGAUCAGCAUUCCUUGUGUAUAGCAUUAUAAAUCAGCUUGCACUUUUGACCCAUCACACUCUCUGGUCUAUGUCAAUUUAAAAAUUGUGCUUUUUAUUUUUUUUUGCGUGUACGUGUGCAUGUGUGUAAAUUCAUUGUAUGUGUAUUUCUGUGCGGUUGGCUGCCUUGGAUUUAAUUUAGAAACUAAAUUAUGUGAGCGAUGACCAUUUUGUCAUUUCCCCGAAUCCCUCGGCUUUUGUUUUGUGCACAGAAAACACAUUAGCCGACUAUCUUCAAUGUGGUUUGACAUGAAAUCCAGGCGACAGUGUAACAACAGCAUAACCACAAGAAAGAAAACAAACCAUUUGUUGCAAAGAUGCAACUCGAUAUCCGCAGAAACGUCUCGCAUUUUCAUUGGCUUAGUGGACCAAUGGCAGCCAUCUAUAGGCGCACGGGACCAUAACAUAGAGACGAGGAACUGAGAGGAAAGACCACGGGAGGAGUUGAUGAGUCAUUGAUGAGACAUACAUUAUUAAUGAGCAUCAUGAUUGCAGAACAAAGAUUGGAAAUACGCAAUGCCAUCUGGACUACGAGUACGAUUUGUCAAAACAAAAGGGAAAAAUUGAAUUUUGAUUAAGUUUAUUACUGGGUCAAGAUCUAAUUCAUACAGCCACUCGUUGCCGUUUUCCCGACUGUGCUUGCGGUCCAGAAAGUGAAUUAUCAUGUUGAAAGGUCAUGGGCAUCCUCACAUUCUGAGCACUUCAGUGCAGUCAUUUACAAUAUUAUGAUAAUGUGCUUCGCCUUUAUUCGAUUGUAAAAGUUUAAUUGCAUUGGAUUGGAUCCACGGGAACAUUGGAAUAGCGUAUGCUGUCUUUAAUAAUCGUACUUUCUAGUGCGAUCACAAAGGGCCGGCCAGUGAGUUUCCCCGGGCAGCAUGUGGAAAGGUUGUGCAGCGGCUACUAGCUUUUAAGUAAAUUAUAAGCUAGGGGUG